AUAUAAAUCAUUGAACUAUAUACUCUGUAAUAAUUUUUUUAAGAGACUUGCCAGACGGGUACGUUCAAUGGGGAAUAUUUAGCUCGAAUUAUUAGCUAUCAGAUGCACCUUUCACCGUCCGAAUCGAUUGAAAUAUAAAGGUUCUGGAAAUUUUUUUGUAAAAAAUACGUUAGUUCGUCUGUGCCAAUUUUCUUUUAUAAUUUUUAAACUAUAAUUCGUAGUUAUAUACUUACAAUGGGAAAAAUUUAGCAUAAUUAGUACUCUAUUUAAAUUGACCUCUCCGAAGAAAAUCGAAAUCGCAUUAAUCCCGUGCCGAGAGGUUAUAUUUAAUAAAAAUUAGGGAGUCACGUCGAUAUUUAGAUCCCCGUCGCGAAUGUAGUUCAUUCUACGACGGUGGCGCCACGUUAUUUCCAGGUUCCAUUGCGAUCACGUUUCGUCUUGGGUGAAGUUUAGUAAAUUUUUCAUUUACGUUCAUCGGUCCAUUUAUAUUGUUUUUAAUUGUUUAUUUUAUUGAUUUCGAAGACAUUCUUCCACCUCGUGGAAUUGGGAUCUUCGUGGGAUCAUUUUACCCUUUUUUAUCGUUUAUAAUUUAUCUUGUAAGUGACAAAUUCCUAGCAAAUGUACUACAAUGAAAUUAAAAAAUCUUUUGUUAAUAGGAUUUCAGGUUACCUUCAGUUCGGCAUCGGUAUGGGGCCACCGAAGAAGUUGAAGGAGGCGGCUCUGAGUUCCCGUAAUGCUAAAAUUCUUAAGACUAGAAUAGAAAGAAUAGAGCAUUCGGUUUAUUGGUUUAUUAGCCCCCUAACCUAAGCUAACUAACUAACAUCCAAACACUAUCUUUACUCGAACGAGCGGAGAAAGCGGAACUAUCAGCGGAAAUGACCUAAACAAAACACCCUAUUCGAAGAAUGAGCUGAAAGGGAACUAUGUUGUUGUUAGGGAAGUAUUAUACACUACGUGUACACCCCUCAACGCAGUACGCCGUGGUACACGUCAGGGAAUACUCCCCAAUGGAAGUUGCGCUAAAAAGCACUACUUCCUAAGAAAAUAGGAACCGCCGCAACGUUCAAAUGAACCUACGCGGUUGAAAUGUGGUAUUAUUUGAACGGUUAUAUUGGGCAUGCGCCGAUACAGAAGAUGUAUUUUUUUCAAAUGGCGCCAUCUAUACAACUGUCACGGGAACUGUCAAAAAAUCUGGGACAUUACUAUUUUAUGUAAAAAACACCAUUUUUAAGGAAAUUUAACGUGUUUUAUCGUUGUUAUGAAAAUGUCAUCGUAAACAAACCUACAUUUGCACAAUUUCGAGUAAUCGACUUGAUGUCGACCAAAAAUUCAUGCCGAUGUGCAUGUUGCUACGUAGCAUAAAGACAUUUACGAUAGAAAUGGUAUGAAAAUUUAUUAUUGAUGUAACAAAUUAUCCGUGUUCUUCAAGAAGAAGUCCUAUAGGAGGUUAUUCAUCAGUUUAUAUUCCGGUUAGAGCAAAAAGUAUGUCCAAGAUUCUAGCGGAAACGAAAGCAUUUCGUCACAUGAAAUAUUCAUGCUUAGGAAGGUAGCGAAGGAUUAGUUUUAGUUCGUUACCUUCCACUUUUAUUUCUACAUGUCCACAUAGUCUACUAGUAUUAAAGCGACCACCUAUUACCACUUGGUCCAAACAGCGAACUACGAUAUCAUUAUAAAAAGGUAUAAAAGCUCGUACUUCAAAUAUACUUAUUACCAUUGAAGGACACGAUACUGUAAUAUACAGCACCUUAAGUUAUCCAAUACUUGCUUGAGGAUGAAGUCCAUUUGUAAAGAAUCUCCUAUGGAAAGGCACGUGAAUUACUACCUACGAAACACUAUAGGUUCCAACAAAAUUGUAAAAACUUCUUUGUCUUAAAAUUUUUAUGCUUUCCUGUACAUAUUAUAAGGAUUGUGUUAGAUAUCGUGAACAAUUUUAAAAAUCAUCAUAUUUCCAUGCCUAAUACAUUCAUAAACAACAAAUAAAAUAAGGAAUACUACACAAACUCCUCACGACCACUCAAAAUGAUCCAAUUAUUUUCAUGGAUUUCUAUUAUAGCAUGUAAACUCUGUACGUGGAGAAAUCGUAAAGAAAAUUCUCCCGAUGAGGAUGAACCUGUUCUACAGGAGGCUAAAACAACCCCGAGUGUACAAACAGGCUGAGUAGAAAAAUCACUUUGUAUAGGUGUUGUUUCCACAAAAAAAAACAAAAAUAUUACUCACACAUUCAAAAAAAUUA